GGAAGCAGAUACAUACAGGGCAUUGUCUUGUAAUUGGAAUGAUGGUGACGUAAAAUCUCACCAGAGUAACAAUUGGAGGGCAAGUCUGGUGCCAGCAGCCGCGGUAAUUCCAGCUCCAAUAGCGUAUAUUAAACUUGUUGCAGUUAAAAAGCUCGUAGUUGAAUUUCUGCGUUGCCCGACUCGGCUACUUGCCUUGUCUGGUUUCGCUUUUGGGGUUUUCCCCUUUUUACUUUGAGAAAAUUAGAGUGUUUCAAGCAGACUUGUGUCUUGAAUACUUCAGCAUGGAAUAAUAAAGUAGGACUUUGGUUCUAUUUUGUUGGUUUGUGAACCUUAGUAAUGGUUAAUAGGAACGGUUGGGGGCAUC
rnacentral:rRNA from 1 species